GGAAAAUACAAUUCAUUUAAAGCUACGAAAAAGGAAACCUAUAGUAAUUAUUCUAAUCGAUUUCAAGAACAGUUGGACGCCUCCUUCCAUCGUCUUUUCACAUCAUAUGUCCCAUCUGUUAUGUUGAUAGUUUUUCCCAUAUCUUUCAUAAUCUGCUAUCCGAUUCUUUUUUUCUUCAUAAAACAAGUCUGUCUGGGUUCUGUCUCCAACGUCCCUCUGGAUUCAGAUGAUAAUGAUCCAAUGUCGCUCUUACUAGGUUUUUAUAGUUUAUGACUAGAAGAAACCCGUCGAGACCAUUACUUUUUGACGAAAAAAUCGAUCGUACAGUUCAUAGAAAUCAAAGAGAGAUAAGGCGCAGCUUACGAUACACGGAGAACGAGCAAGAAGAGGAUACUCAACUCCCAACCGACGAGAUGGUUGAAAACCAAGGCAAUCAGCUACCUCCUACAAUUGCAGCUAAUCAAAAUCCUGCUCCACGUACUAUGUAUGAUUAUGCUAAACCUUCUCUAAUAGGAACUGAAUCUAGCAUAGUUAAACCUGCUGUAGCUGCAAAUACUUUUGAAUUAAAACCUAACACUAUUCAGAUGAUAAAGCAGUUUAUUCAGUUUGAUGGUUUGCAGGAUGAAGAUCCUAACGCUCACUUAGCAAAUUUUCUGGAAUUUUGCGAUACAUUUAAAAUCAAUGGCGUUUCUGAUGAUGCCAUUCGUCUUCGGUUAUUUCCCUUUUCACUGAGAAACAAAGCUAAACAGUGGUUGAACUCGUUACCACGAGGGUCUAUCACUACUUAGGAACAAAUGACCGAGAAAUUUUUACUAAAAUAUUUUCCGUCGGCUAAAACAACUAAAUUACGUAAUGAUAUCUCUUCUUUUGUGCAGAUGGAUUUAGAAACACUUUACGAUACAUGGGAGAAAUACAAUGACUUACUGAGAAGGUGCCCUCACCAUGGGUUACCGCUUUGGCUUCAAGUACAAACAUUCCACAAUGGUCUGAAUCCCUCGACUCAGCAAAUGGUUGACGCAGUUGCUGGAGGAACUAUCAACAACAAAACACCUGAAGAGGCUUAUGCAUUUAUUGAAGAAAUGUCAAUGAAUAAUUAUCAGUGGCAAGUCAUGAGGACUAAGCCAACAAAAUUGACCGGCGUUUAUAACGUCGACUCAGUUACUAUGCUGUCAAAUCAGGUAGAACUUCUUAAUAAAAAUAUUGAUGGUUUACUUAA